rnacentral:rRNA from 1 species
AGAGUUUGAUCAUGGCUCAGGACGAACGCUGGCGGCAGGCUUAAUACAUGCAAGUCGAGCGAGAAGCAUCCUUCGGGAUGUGGAAAGCGGCAGACGGGUGAGUAACGCGUGGGAACGUGCCCUUCGGUACGGAAUAGCUCAGGGAAACUUGAAUUAAUACCGUAUACGACCUUCGGGUGAAAGAUUUAUCGCCGAAGGAUCGGCCCGCGUUAGAUUAGCUAGUUGGUGGGGUAAAGGCCCACCAAGGCGACGAUCUAUAGCUGUUCUGAGAGGAAGAUCAGCCACACUGGGACUGAGACACGGCCCAGACUCCUACGGGAGGCAGCAGUAGGGAAUAUUGGACAAUGGGCGAAAGCCUGAUCCAGCCAUGCCGCGUGGAUGAAGAAGGCCCUAGGGUUGUAAAGUCCUUUCGGCGGGGAAGAUAAUGACGGUACCCGCAAAAGAAGCCCCGGCUAAUUUCGUGCCAGCAGCCGCGGUAAUACGAAAGGGGCUAGCGUUGUUCGGAAUUACUGGGCGUAAAGCGCGCGUAGGCGGCAAUGUAAGUUGGGGGUGAAAUCCCGGGGCUCAACCCCGGAACUGCCUCCAAAACUACAUAGCUAGAGGAUGCGAGAGGAUAGUGGAAUUCCGAGUGUAGAGGUGAAAUUCGUAGAUAUUCGGAAGAACACCAGUGGCGAAGGCGACUGUCUGGCGCAUUUCUGACGCUGAGGCGCGAAAGCGUGGGGAGCAAACAGGAUUAGAUACCCUAGUAGUCC